AGAGAGAGACAUGCGCGCAUAUCAAUAAGCGGAGGAAAAGAAACUAACAAGGAUUCCCUUAGUAACGGCGAGUGAAGCGGGAAGAGCUCAAAUUUGAAAUCUUCAAGGGUUCUACCUUUACGAAUUGUAGUUUAAAGAAGUGUUUUCUGUUGGAGUUUCGGUAAAAGUUCUUUGGAAUAGGACAUCAUAGAGGGUGAGAAUCCCGUAUUUGACCGUUACUUUCCAGCUGUGUGAUACACUCUCAAAGAGUCGGAUUGUUUGGGAAUGCAGUCCAAAAUGGGUGGUAAAUUUCAUCUAAAGCUAAAUAUUGGCGAGAGACCGAUAGCGAACAAGUACCGUGAGGGAAAGAUGAAAAGAACUUUGAAAAGAGAGUUAAACAGUACGUGAAAUUGUCAAAAGGGAAGCGUUUGACACCAGUGUUGUUUUUCUCGAAAAUCAAUUACGAAUGUUUUGUUUUUGAGGAGUUAUGACUUCAUCGGCUUGCUUCUUUCUUUACGAAACUUUCUUAAUGCACUUUUCGGUUAACAAGUCAACAUCAAUUUCUUUUGUUGUAAAAGGGUAUGAGGAAGGUGGCUUUCUCUUCGGAGAAAGUGUUUAUAGCCUUGUACCUCUGCAAUCGGAGAGAUUGAGGUCUGCAGCGUAGACUCUUCGGGGUUAGAUACACUUGUGCUAAGCUAUAGCCUUGUAUAGACAACUUGUUGACUAUGCUCAGUCAUGUAGCUUACUCGCUUGUGCUAUUUUACCUACGCUUAGGAUGUUGAUCUGUAGUGCGUGCGC
rnacentral:rRNA from 1 species